rnacentral:sRNA from 1 species
ACUUGACCAGACUUUACUUUAAAAAACAAACAAACACCAUUUUCUUUGAUUAUUAGUAAAACAUGACAUUUUCCCCAUAUUUUGGUUAACCAUUUUAUAUCCUUUUCUGAUGAAUUGCAUAUGUAUGGCACAUAUACAGACAGCAAUGUUGAAGAAUAAUGCCAUAGUAAUUGUGGAUCCAAAACCAAUCUCCUGACUAGAUCCUAUAUUACUUCCACACUUCACAUGCUUAGACUGACAGCUCCCCAGACUAAAUGAGCAGUUUUUCUUUUCCACCAAAAAGACUUGAUAUGACUAAUUGCUGCCAAAUGUUUUUGUAUUUCCAUUUCAUGCCCCUUUAUAUGUUAAGUCUUAUGUUUUAGGAUUUUGCCUUAGUGAAGGAAGGCAUGAUUAACAAAUGAAAAACGGUAAAUCCUCUUCUAUCUAAGAAACAUUUUACAAGUUUUAUUUGGCAUUUUCUUUUGGAAAGCCUUUUUUGUUGUUGUUGCAGUUCUUGUAUUUGUUCACUAUGUUAUUCUUUUAUUUGGUAGGAUCAAUCUGAAUAUGUAAAUUUGCAAAGGUAGGAAAAGCAAAAAUCUGUGAGUAGCUUGUUACAGAAAGCUGGGAGCCAUUAUUGGUUGAGUUUGUUAAUGCCCUCUGCAGACUUUUCCACGGUUUUAUUUACUGUGCAGGUUGAAACAGUGCUAACAUAUUCACCUGGUAGUUCUUGGGGAUAAUGUAUUUUCCUUCUGCAUGAGGCCAAAAGCUAUUCUCAAUUCUGGUAGCUUCUCCUAUUGUGCAGCCUUCUUGGUUCAAGCUUCUACACAGCAUCUGUUUUCAGGUAUAUAUGGAAAUACCAAAUACCUAACAAGUCUGAAAUGAAAGAGUUACAUAUUCCUUAAAAAAUAAUAAAAGCCUGAUGGGGCCCAGAAAGUAUCAUUACCAGUAUUCGGAAUCAGUCUCAAAAACUACCUCUUCUUCACCUGGUGAUUCAGUCAGUCACCAAGCCCAGGGUUUCCAUUUCACACAACUCCUACAAUCCCUGCUGCACUGACCUGGUCCCCCUGCCACACCUUGCUGCUCCCUGCCUUCUGUCUUCUCCCAUGUGUCUUAUUGCAAUAGUUCACUUGUCAUCAGUUUCUUCUCUAUUGAAAUUCACUGUAAUGAAUUCCCCGUCACAGUGCUACCAGUGUUAUCUAUCAAAAGAAAUCUAAUCAUAUAAUCUUCAACUUUAAAAAACUGCUGGGCUCCUUUUUGUCCAUGGACUAAAGUUCAGAUUUCUUAGUACAAUCUACAAGAGCUUUGGCAUGGGGACUCAGUUGCAUCUGUCUUGCCAUUUCCCUACCUCUGUCUGUUACACUGGGCCUCACUAGCCUCUGAAGGUCCCUUACCUUUCUACAUGCUAUUUUCUCUCUCUCAAGUGCUCUGCUAGGCCUCCUCUUUCCUGUCUGACAAAUUUAUGCUCAUCCUUUAAACUAGCAGUGAACACUAAACAUAUGUACAGUUCAGAUCUGAUCUUCUGGGUGAAGUCCCUGGACUUGGCUGAGGUUUAUAGCUGAAUCCUGUCAUGUGCAUGUCCAUGGGUUCUUCAGGGACUCUUCCAUUAGGAGGAGUCUACUUGUAAUUCCUGAGGCUUGAGUGAUGGAUUCUAUUUCUCCAAUUGUCAUUGCCUUCUCUCUGCCUGGAUCUCUGUGGUCAACUCCAUGUAAACUUCACUGUUGGAGAGCUCUCACUCUGCCAGGAGAUAUGUAGGGCAGCACUUACAGAGCUUCAGUGUGGCCCUUCUUUGUUGUGUACCGCUCAUAAAUCCUUUUCCCAACAAAUCCUGGGUAUUAAUCCUGCUAUCACACGUCACUAUCCUUUUUCAGACAUGAGUCAGGCACCAGUCCAUAUCUCCUGAAAUGCAGGAAUAUCUACCAAGCUCUCACAGAACUUGGGUGUAGUGAGGAGGAUUGUGGGGACUCAGAGCAUAACGACAGCUCCCUUCAAAAGGAAUAUUUUCACAACUCCUUCCUCUCUCAAAUAUUUUGUAAUCUACAAGUAGAUGAGAGGGUUCAAGGUUGUAGACAUUUCCUUUGUAGAUUUUGUAUAUUGAGAAGAUCAUGCUCACUUUAGUAACUGAUGUAUCAUAUCAUACAGAAAGAGUCCCAUUUUGACAUCCUGUUACAUUUAGACAAAAUCUGCAUAAUAAAGCAAUUUCUUAAAUACAUCUUCACUUUAGAGAAGCUGUAUUUUAGAUUUAAACUAUUCUGAAGAAUCAGUAGUCAAUGAUCAUUUUAGAAUAGUUUGUUAGAAGCCACGGUAAAAUAGACACAUUCUAGAUCUCUUAAUGUCACAAAGCCAAUAAAGUGACGCAUAGCUUUUCAGAGUAUAUGUAGGAUGAAACACUAAUAGUAUUGAGGGGAAAAAAACAAAGUAGAUCCUAAAUCCUCCAUUUCAUUCAGCUAAAAUCCAGCUUGUUCCUGAACAGAUCAAAAUAUUUACAAAAUCAAUUUGCCGUUUCUUAAAAGUAAAUGGUAAAAAGUUAUUGCUUGAAUUUUUUUUAUUGUACCAAUAUGUAGUCCUUUGAAAGCAUGCUCCAGGAAGUAUACACAUUUCCUUAUGUACCACCCUCCUUCCACCAGUAGAGCAGAAGCAGUAGAACAGCUAUUCUUGGUCAUUUAUUUUUGCUGAGAUAAACAUGAAGAUUAUGUUCACAUGGAUUACAUGCACUGGAAUUUACUCAAGUCUUGGCAUGUUACCUGGAUCUGUACCCUCUUUGUUUUCACACUCAACAAACUAUGUCACUGGUUAAGCUAGAAUCCAAUUUAAUUUUUUUAACAAAGCACUAAAUUAUCUUCAAACUUACUGCUAUUACCAACAAAUUAUUUCUGGUACAUCCAAAAUCGAACCACAUUAUAUCUGUAUGCUGCACAACCUGUUUGAGAAUCACUGGUUUAGGCUUCAAAAAUAUUUCAAUCAGGAUGUUUUUCAUUGUGUUAAGUAUCAUUGUUCAAUCAUUGGUGGAGGACUCCUAAUAAAUGGAAUAUCAUGAUACCCCUUGACACUUCUUUACCUCACUUUAUUUUUUGUUCUGCUAGUCAGAAAUAUGUCUGCUUCAUCAUUUUCCACAACCGUAUUGCUAACAGUGCUAAGAGGUGAAUAGGAUAUUUGUGAAGUAACUAGGGUGGUCAAAGGGAAACCUACAACCCACAGUCCUGGAUGUUGACCUCAAACUAGUAGUAAUUUGUGCUAUUGUAGAAAAACUUUAUCACCCUAACCCUGUUGACUGGCUGACUGAUUUGUUAAUUCAGUCAUUCUCUCUUUCAUUCUUUAAAAAAGUAGUAGUUGAGAACCUACCCUUUAAAAGAGAUACCAACUGUAUAGCAAUUCUCGUGCUCUUUUUUCCCUCAUGUGUGUAGUGGUUAGAACACUUGCUUAGCCUUUUUAUUUCAAGUUAUUUGCUCAAAUUAUAUUUUUUAAACAUUUUAUUCUUCCAUUCUUUAAUGGUAACCUUAUUGAUAAAAUAGCAGCACUAUGGCCUCUAACUAGUAAUUAACACAACACAUUAGAAGGAUCUUACUUGAUACAAAUCUUCGAAUUGUUCUCAACUUGGAAGAGUCAUAAUAGAUCAUUUAAGCAAGAUGUUCUUAUUUUCUAUCUACCUUGAGUUUUUGGCAAUUCAACUAAUUCCCAGAAUGUAUUUAUGAACUAUCUGACUAUGAUUGUCAUUCACUAGAAUAACUUCAUUUUCCCUUAGAAUAUUGCUGUUUUCCAUAUUUUGUACAAGAAAGUCAUGUUUUAAUACAUGAGCUGUUGAAGCGAGUCCUCAUACAUACUAAUAUUCUAUACCUAAAUUCUUAUUUAUUCUUUUAAAAUAUAUUGUUUUCUAUUUACUUACCAUCAAAAGCAUCAUAUAACCUCAGUAUUUUAAAUAUCAUGAGAAAAAGUUAUCUUUACAAUUUAUAAAAUUGAUUUAUCUCUAAUAACAAUUAUCUAUUACUUAUUUCCAGUUUUCUUUCCUUUAUUAUGCUUGCUGAAAGACUGACAUUGUGACUUCAGAUUCAAAAAAGUUAAAAAUAUCUCAAAAUGGAUAAUUUAUCUAACACUAACAUAAUCUGGUAAACUCUAGAUUAUAUAAUUAAGUAGAUCCCUAUAGAGCCUCGCUUGAAGCCGGUCUCCCAACAUGGGGACACUCAGCAGCCCAGAUGAGAAACGCAACUUUUGAACAUCCUGGGAGAGUCUGAGGUUCUGUAACAUGUUGCUUCCCAUGAAGAAUAUAAUGUAAUUGAAAUUGAACACUUAGAUGAAAAAGAAUUGAUACAAAAAGCUAGUGAUAUAUUUAUUAUAUACACAACAGGAAAUUUAUUUUUUAAGUUGCUUUUUAUCUAUAUGAUUUGAACAUUAAAAUUUAUUUUAUAUUUUCAGAAGCCAGGAAUUUGUCUAUUUAUUUGUUUACUUUUUAAACUUCCAGGUCAGUGAUUUUUUUAUUGAAGUAUGAUUGACAAAUAAACGUCAUACAUAUUUAAGGUGAACAAUGUGAUGUUUUGAUAUACAUAUACAUUGUGUAACAAUCCCCUAAUCAAGCCAAUCAACUUAUCCACCACCUCACAUAUAUACUUUUUCUGUUUUCUUUCUGUUGGUAACACUCAAGAUCUACUCUCUUAGCAAAUUUCAAGAAUACAAUACAUUAUUGUUAAUAGACUAUGAACAUUAAAAUUUAAUGCUAUUGUAGAAAAGGUGUAAAGUCAUAACAUUAUGAAAUAAAGAGUAUGAUUAUCUUUACAAUGGUCUUUUUAUUUAUUUUAAUUUCCUAACCUCUUUAUACAUUUUUGCCUUUUAAAAUUAUUCUUAACAUAUAAUAAUUGUAUAUAUUUAUUGAAUAGAGAGUGAUAUUUUGAUGCAUGUAAACAAUGUGUAAUGAUCAAAUCAGGGUAUCUGUGUCUAUCACCUCAAAUAUUUAUCAUUUAUUUGUGUUGGAAACAUUCAAAUUCUUCUCUUUUAGCUAUUUAAAAAUAUAGAAUAAAUUAUUUUUAACUAUAAUCACCCCACAGUGCUACAGUACACUGGAAUUUAUUUCUUUUAUGUACCUGAAAUUUUGCAUUUGUUAACCAGCCUCUCCCUAUUGCCCCACCUCACCUUUCCCAGCCUCUAGUUACCACUAUUUUACUCUCUACUUCUAUGAGACAAACUUUUUUAGCUUCCGCAUAUUAGUGAGAACGUGGUAUUUAUCUUUCCAUGCCUAGCUUAUUUUAUGAUGAUCCUUUUAAAAGUAACUUUUCUACCUACCCAUAGGCUCUCUUUCGGACAGUAGCAAUGAUGGUGCCUGACUAUGCCAUGAUUGCUGAAAUAGUCCUGUACUCCUGUGGGUUUGUCACUGCUCGGCCACUGUCUGUAAAAAUCGUGGCUACAUAUCGCUUGUGUUCAGAGCAGCUGUCAUCUCAACAUCACUACGACUAUGGAAUGAGAGCCGUGAAGUCAGUUCUUACAGCUGCUGGGAAUCUGAAGCUGAAAUAUCCAAAUGAAAAUGAAGAAAUUUUGCUGCUUAGAUCUAUCAUUGAUGUAAAUCUGCCAAAAUUUUUAUCCCAUGAUUUACCACUCUUUGAGGGAAUUACUUCGGAUUUGUUUCCUGGGGUAAAAUUACCAAAACCAGAUUACAAUGAUUUGCUGGCAGCUAUCAAAGACAAUUGUGCCUCCAUGAAUUUGCAAAUGACCGCAUUCUUUUCCGAGAAGAUUCUUCAAGUAUAUGAAAUGAUGAUUGUGCGUCAUGGUUUUAUGAUUGUUGGAGAACCAUUUGGAGGAAAAACUAGUGCAUAUCGUGUCUUAGCUGGAGCACUAAAUGAUAUAUGUGAAAAGGUAAGUAUAUUAUUAAUGCAUUAAUUUAUUUAUAAUUGACUUUGUGCAAGGUAGAGUGUACCAUUAUUUUAAAAGAUGCUUUCAAUGUGGCAACUUAAAAUCAUGACAAAAAUGAGUCAAAGAGAAAAUAAAGUUUUGGAAAAGUAAAAUGAAGCAAAUAGGAAGUUCAGGAUAUAAAGGGUAUGCCACAAACUUGCUUUCAACCUUUUAUUUCUUUUUUUAAAAAAUUAUUAAAGUAAUACAUGUCUCUUGUAGAAAAAAGUCUGAAAACAGAAAAACCUGAAGGUUUUCCUGUAAUACUUUCAGAGGAGUCUUUUUUAUUUUCUAGAUAGAUUUGUAAUGCAAGCUUCUGUUAUUGGCUGCUAGUGGUAUUGAACUAAAAUGUGUGUGUGUGCAUAUGUGCACACAUAUAUAAUGACACAUUCAGAAUUCUCAUACACGUCACAUUUUGAUUGACUUUGAAAUACUGAAGGAGUGGGGCUGUUUUAAAUACUUCAACUAAUAUUGCAUUUCUAUUUACCUCUCCUUAUAGAUAUUUCAAAUAGUUUUCACUUUAUAAAUUUAAAUGUUCAUAUCCUAUAUGAGGUUUGUGAUGAUUGUAUCUUUACUUGAAGAGUCUCCCUUUCAAUCAAUAUGAAAUUACUUACUUUUCUGUUAUUUGUUGUGAUCUACUUUGUCUAAUUUCAAUAUUGCUACCCCUACUUUCUACCUGUAUGUAUAUUUGCCCAUGUCAUUAAUUAUAUCCUUGGGUGUCACUGUGAUUUACUUUCUAUAGAGAAUAAAUAGCUUGACUUUUGUUUUCUACAGGUCAGUGGUCUUUAUCUUUUCAAAGAUAAGUUUAAAAUCAUUUGUAUUUUUUAUACAAACUGAUACGCUACUUAUUCCUUCCAUCUGUUUCUUCUGCUUUUACACUUCCAUGCUAUUUUGUUUCUUUACUUCCCUUCUCUUUUUUAUUCCGUUUUUUCACUUCUUAAUUGUCUUCUGCAUUCUUUAUCUUAUUUAUGGCUUAUUUGUAUUUUUCCUGUUUUGUUAUUUUAUUGUCAUAGGAACUGAUCUUUUAUAUAUACAUAUAUAAAAUAAAGUCUCCAAAAGAACCCAACAGGUCACUGCUCAAAGAGUAGAAGGAGAUGAAGAUAUGAGCAUGUAUUCUGGUCCACUUGUAAAGUCUAAAUGGCUCAUUACCAGGGAAUUUUAAGGGUGACAUUGUGAUUAUGUCAUAGGGCAGUCUUCCUUAGCCAACCAAGCUAUAGCUUCACAUUAGCCUUGCUGCAUUUAGGAUAAAAACUUUUCUUUGGUGACAGCAGCUUUGUUCUGAUUAAGAAGAUAAUAGAGAUUUCCUAUACUUCUUAAUUUAGGAAGAUACAUUGUUAUCGCCUUCCUGGGCACACAAAAGAAAGCAAAGACAUUGAGCUUGUUUUAUUGUUUAAGAUUACUAUUCUGGGCCGGGCGCAGUGGCUCACGCCUGUAAUCCCAGCACUUUGGAAGGCUGAGGCGGGCGAUCACAAGGUCAGGAGAUUGAGACCAUCCUGGCUAACAUGGUGAAACCCUUUCUCUACUAAAAAUACAAAAAUUAGCCAGGCGUGGUGGCGGGCGCCUGUAGUCCCAGCUUCUCGGGAAGCUGAGACAGGAGAAUGUCGUGAACCCGGGAGGCGGAGCUUGCAGUGAGCCGAGAUCGCACCACUGCACUCCAGCCUGGGCCACAGAGCGAGAAGAUUACUAUUCUGCCAGGAGUGGUGGCUCAUUCCUGUCAUCUUGGCCCUUUGGGAGGCCAAGGCAGGCGGAUCACUUGAGCCCAGGAGUCCUAGAUCAGCCUGGAUAACAUGGUGAGACCCUGUUUCUACUUUUAAAAAAACACAGAAAAUUAGCUGGGCGUGGUGGCAUGUGCCAUGUGUAGUCCCAACUGCUCAGGAGGCUGAGGUGAGAGGACCACUUGAGCCCACGAGCCUGCAGUGAGCCGAGAUUGUGCCACUGCACUCCAGCCUGGGCGACAGAAUGAAAGCCUGUCUCAAAAGAAAAAAAAAAGGUUAAUAUUCUCACUUUUUUUUUUUUUUUUUCAGUUUGGUAGUUUGUGUCCCAAACUCGGGAGUGCCAGGCAGAAGGCAAUGUUAGAGUUGAACUUGUUAUGUUUUUAUAUAUAAAAAAUAAAUGAUUGCCAAUAGGUGGAGCACAGAGGAUUUUUAAGGGCGUGAAAGUGUUCUGUAUGGUACUAUAAUGGGGGAUAAUGAUACUACACACUUGGCAAAACCCAUAUAACUAUGCAACACAAAGAGUGAACCCUUAGUGUAAACUAUGGACUUUAGAUAAUAGUAAUGCAUUAAUAUGAAUUCAUCAGCCAUAACAAUGUACCACACCAAUUCAAGGUGUUAAUAAUAAGGAAACUGUUGUCUGGGUAGUGGAGAGAGUAUCUGGAAUCUUUGUACUUUCUGCUCAAUUUUUCUGUAAACCUUUUUUUAAAAAGCCAGUUGAUUUAAAAAAGAAAAAAAA